AACGCACAUUGCGCCCCCUGGCAUUCCGGGGGGCAUGCCUGUCCGAGCGUCAUUGCUACCCUCAAGCGCGGCUUGUGUGUUGGGCGCUGUCCCCCCGGGGACAGGCCUGAAAGGCAGUGGCGGCGUCGCGUCCGGUCCUCGAGCGUAUGGGGCUUUGUCACUCGCUCUGUGGGGUCCGGCCGGGGCCUGUCUACCCAAUCUUUUCUCAAGGUUGACCUCGGAUCAGGUAGGGAUACCCGCUGAACUUAA
rnacentral:misc_RNA from 1 species